UAUGAUUACCAGGGGUAAAGGGCGUGGGAAAGGAUAAACUGGGAAUUCAAAAUUUGCACCUCUUGGGGCGUGAUGGAAAUGUUAGCUGUCUUGAUUGUCCUGGUGGUUUCAUUUGUGUACACAUCUAUCACAACCCAUCGAACUGUAUAUCUGAAAUACGCGUAGUUUACUAUAAAUAAAUUAUGUCACA